UACAGGGGGCGCGAGCGUUGCUCGGAAUCACUGGGCGUAAAGCGAACGCAGGCGGACCGUUAAGUCGAAUGUGAAAGCCCGGGGCUCAACCCCGGAAGUGCAUUCGAAACUGGCGGUCUUGAGUACGGGAGAGGUGGGUGGAACGUCCGAGUGUAGAGGUGAAAUUCGUAGAUAUUCGGAAGAACACCAGUGGCGAAGGCGACUCACUGGCCCGAUACUGACGCUGAGGUGCGAAAGCGUGGGGAGCAAACAGG
rnacentral:rRNA from 1 species